AGAGUCUUAAGAAGAGAAGUUGCAAAGGCCCACAGUGGGUAUUGACAUGAUAUGAUUUCUUCUCUGAAUGUCAAAGUGAAGAAAUUCAAUGAAACGCAGAUAAAUGGUGGGAGUCACUAAGACUCUCUUAGGGAAGCCACAUGCCUCAUCAUCUAAUUAGUGAUGUGCAUGUAUGGAUGAAUGAGAUCCU
rnacentral:ncRNA from 1 species